rnacentral:rRNA from 1 species
UUUUUGUAAUUAAUAUAAAGUCUAAUCUGCCCACUGAUAAAUUAUUAAAGGGCUGCAGUAUUUUGACUGUACAAAGGUAGCAUAAUCAUUUGUCUCUUAAUUGGUGACUUGUAUGAAAGAUUGGAUGAAAUAUAAACUGUCUCAUUAUGAUAAGUAAAAUUUAAUUUUUUAGUAAAAAAGCUAAAAUAAUUUUAAAAGACGAGAAGACCCUAUAGAGUUUAAUAAUUAUUUUUAUAUAAAAUAAAAUAUAAAAAUUUAAAUUUAAAUGAAAAUAAUUAUUUUGUUGGGGUGAUAGAAAAAUUAAAUUAACUUUUUUUAAUAGAUAUACAUUAAUAAAUGAUUAAAUGAUCCAUUAAUAAUGAUUAUAAGAAAAAAUUACCUUAGGGAUAACAGCGUAAUUUUUUUUUUUAGGCCAAAUAAGAAAAAGAGUUUGCGACCCCGAUGUUGGAUUAAGAUAAAAUUUAAAUGUAAAAGUUUAAAGUUUUGAUCUGUUCGAUCAUUAAAA